UCGACUAUUUCUUCAAAAACUUCAUAUACUUCAUCAUUUGAGGAACUUGACAUUUUUCAAAUUUUUUUUUUAAAACCUUGGCAAUGGCUCACGUGAUUCUUCAAGACCUUUGCGAUUCUUCACCUUUUUUUUUCUAAAUUUAAUCAAGUGUUUAACAAAACUUGGCUUGUUGGCUUGUAGUAGUGUUCGGCUUGUUGGGUUGUAGUUGUGUUUAAAGAGAAAUAUUAUGAGAUAAGAUGAGAUUCAUACAUAAAGAGAAAUAUAAAAACAGAGAUACAAAGAGAAG
rnacentral:lncRNA from 1 species